rnacentral:rRNA from 1 species
CGUUGAUUACGUCCCUGCCCUUUGUACACACCGCCCGUCGCUACUACCGAUUGAAUGGCUUAGUGAGGUCUUCGGAUUGGCUUUAUGGACCCGGCAACGGGACCGUAUUGCUGAGAAGUUGAUCAAACUUGGUCAUUUAGAGGAAGUAAAAGUCGUAACAAGG